GAUUCCGAUGGAAUCUCUGCCUCUCCUCUCCUAAUUCCACGCCCUCAGCUUGUGGACGUAUGAAACAUUACUGCUGCGAAUAGGCUGUACAAAUAUUCUGUCGCCACAAUCUAUGAGCAGUUGAUUAACAAUCAAUGUCACACUCAAUCAAUGGCCGUGCAAGAUAUCCUGAUUGGUAGAGAGUAGUCUGUUACUGCACUGAAUAAGUUAGGAUGCAAAUACUAUGAGCAAAAUCAAAACCCAUACCACAGAGUUGCAAGGUUUUAAAUGGUGUGCACCGAAUUGCUACAUUAGACUCGUAUCAGGCUUACAUUUUGCAACAUCACUCUUGCAUGCCCUAAACUCAGUUGAGGUUGCAAAUUUCCUUGACAAUAACACAAUUCAUCAUCUCAUGCAAUUUGGUGUCUUGUGUAAUUUGAUGUGUCGUGGGUCUGGUAGCAGAAAUUUCUCGAGCAAUUCCUAGGGUUCAGAUGCUGUUUCAUUUACAACAUUUACUAUUUGAAAUUGGUAUUUAAUCUCCAAGAUUGAUAGGUAUAUGUGAUUGUUGCUAUUUGAAAAUUGUUACUAAAUCUGCAUGAUUGAUCGCUAUACGUGAUUGAAUGGAUAAUAUGUUCAAGGAAUUUACUUGAGGUUGUAAAUGAUUUGUCAUUAUUAGUACUAAAAUGUUAACUCUACAGAACCUUUUUUGAUCAGCCAUCAGAUCGUAGUUGUAGUCUUGUGCCAUAACUCAGAAACUUAGUAUCAAGUAUAAUGUGAUGGUUGAUGCUGGCAACACCACAGGCAGCCUACAGUCAGUGUGAUGCUGGCAACACCACAAGAUCUAGGAUUAUAGGGUUUAAUUUUUUGGUCCUAAUCGAACACCGCUAAUAUAUAGCAGACUGAAAAUCUGAAUCAAUUUAAAUCCGCAGGGCCAGAAUAUUUAAUUUGAUAAAAAAUAACACCCAUAGUCUCUUGCAUACACUAUUUUCGAUUGUCCCACUUGUCAUCCUCUUUUGCGCGCCAUCUUGCAGCUCCACGAAUUCUUGCUUCUUAACCUCAUAUGUGUCUUUGUAGUCUCCACACACUGAAGUUUGGGUAUUUUAAUAUCUAAAGCACUACUGUGUUUUUGACCUCACUACUGUGUUUCAAUCUGCAGACUGAAAGAUACCAAUGCACAGCUACACUAAUUUCCAUCUCGGAUAAUCAACACUGGUGCUAUCGAGCUUGCAGAGUUUGUAACUCGAAAAUGAUUCCAGGCCCAGAUGGAUACCAGUGCACAAAAGUUAGUGGUUGCCCAUGCACGCAAUUUGAUUGGAAGUAAGAUUACUCCAAGUAAAUUAUGUUUGUUUGUACAUAGGCCAUCUUAGAUUUAAUAUUAUGACCACCUUCCAAGAGAAAAAUUACUGAGGUAUGAUACUAAAACUUCCACAGUUUACUGAUUACUGGAACUUCCAGUUUACCCUUCACUAUAUUUUCUAUCACUCAUGGUAAUAUUGUUGCAGGCUACAUCAUCACAAUCCGCACAGUACGCAGGCAUAAAAGACAUGGACAUAGAUCAACAAUCUUAUGCUUGGGAUCAGACUAAGAACCAUAACAACACUGAUGAUGAGAACGAUAAAACAGAAACAAAGAAGCUGAAGCUUCAAGAAUAAGACAAGCGCAAAUGGUUCUGGGGGAAGCAUUUUGGUCAGCAAAGACACUUGUUCUGGAAAUAAUAUUUUGGACUGCAAAGCCACGUGGGAGCUAGCUAUAAUUUAGACUACCAAUGUUAUAACUACAAGCACCAUUCUGGUAGCCUCAUAGUUAUAGCUCUCAAAAUGGUGAUCUUUUGCUUAGGGGGAUCUAAACUUAAAACCUCACUGUACUCCCUGCUAAUGGCUGUUCCUGUCAUCUACCAUUGUCUGCUGCUAGCUGUUGACAAAUGCAGCCACAUGAACACUGUAGCGACUGUGUAGUUUGUAUUUGCAAAGAGUCCUCUACUGGCCAGCGCGGCAAUGCCGCGACGCCUUUCUA